rnacentral:rRNA from 1 species
UGCUUGCACUAUCACUUAGCGGCGGACGGGUGAGUAAUGCUUAGGAAUCUGCCAUUUAGUGGGGGACAACAUUCCGAAAGGAAUGCUAACACCGCAUACGUCCUACGGGAGAAAGCAGGGGAUCUUCGGACCUUGCGCUAAAUGAUGAGCCUAAGUCGGAUUAGCUAGUUGGUGGGGUAAAGGCCUACCAAGGCGACGAUCUGUAGCGGGUCUGAGAGGAUGAUCCGCCACACUGGAACUGAGACACGGCCCAGACUCCUACGGGAGGCAGCAGUGGGGAAUAUUGGACAAUGGGCGGAAGCCUGAUCCAGCCAUGCCGCGUGUGUGAAGAAGGCCUUUUGGUUGUAAAGCACUUUAAGCGAGGAGGAGGCUACUAGUACUAAUACUACUGGAUAGUGGACGUUACUCGCAGAAUAAGCACCGGCUAACUCUGUGCCAGCAGCCGCGGUAAUACAGAGGGUGCGAGCGUUAAUCGGAUUUACUGGGCGUAAAGCGUGCGUAGGCGGCUUUUUAAGUCGGAUGUGAAAUCCCUGAGCUUAACUUAGGAAUUGCAUUCGAUACUGGGAAGCUAGAGUAUGGGAGAGGAUGGUAGAAUUCCAGGUGUAGCGGUGAAAUGCGUAGAGAUCUGGAGGAAUACCGAUGGCGAAGGCAGCCAUCUGGCCUAAUACUGACGCUGAGGUACGAAAGCAUGGGGAGCAAACAGGAUUAGAUACCCUGGUAGUCCAUGCCGUAAACGAUGUCUACUAGCCGUUGGGGCCUUUGAGGCUUUAGUGGCGCAGCUAACGCGAUAAGUAGACCGCCUGGGGAGUACGGUCGCAAGACUAAAACUCAAAUGAAUUGACGGGGGCCCGCACAAGCGGUGGAGCAUGUGGUUUAAUUCGAUGCAACGCGAAGAACCUUACCUGGUCUUGACAUAGUAAGAACUUUCCAGAGAUGGAUUGGUGCCUUCGGGAACUUACAUACAGGUGCUGCAUGGCUGUCGUCAGCUCGUGUCGUGAGAUGUUGGGUUAAGUCCCGCAACGAGCGCAACCCUUUUCCUUAUUUGCCAGCGGGUUAGGCCGGGAACUUUAAGGAUACUGCCAGUGACAAACUGGAGGAAGGCGGGGACGACGUCAAGUCAUCAUGGCCCUUACGACCAGGGCUACACACGUGCUACAAUGGUCGGUACAAAGGGUUGCUACCUAGCGAUAGGAUGCUAAUCUCAAAAAGCCGAUCGUAGUCCGGAUUGGAGUCUGCAACUCGACUCCAUG